AGCGUACACGGUGGAUGCCCUGGCAGUCAGAGGCGAUGAAGGACGUGCUAAUCUGCGAUAAGCGUCGGUAAGGUGAUAUGAACCGUUAUAACCGGCGAUUUCCGAAUGGGGAAACCCAGUGUGUUUCGACACACUAUCAUUAACUGAAUCCAUAGGUUAAUGAGGCGAACCGGGGGAACUGAAACAUCUAAGUACCCCGAGGAAAAGAAAUCAACCGAGAUUCCCCCAGUAGCGGCGAGCGAACGGGGAGCAGCCCAGAGCCUGAAUCAGUGUGUGUGUUAGUGGAAGCGUCUGGAAAGGCGCGCGAUACAGGGUGACAGCCCCGUACACAAAAAUGCACAUGCUGUGAGCUCGAUGAGUAGGGCGGGACACGUGGUAUCCUGUCUGAAUAUGGGGGGACCAUCCUCCAAGGCUAAAUACUCCUGACUGACCGAUAGUGAACCAGUACCGUGAGGGAAAGGCGAAAAGAACCCCGGCGAGGGGAGUGAAAAAGAACCUGAAACCGUGUACGUACAAGCAGUGGGAGCACAGAGCAAUCUGUGUGACUGCGUACCUUUUGUAUAAUGGGUCAGCGACUUAUAUUCUGUAGCAAGGUUAACCGAAUAGGGGAGCCGAAGGGAAACCGAGUCUUAACUGGGCGUUAAGUUGCAGGGUAUAGACCCGAAACCCGGUGAUCUAGCCAUGGGCAGGUUGAAGGUUGGGUAACACUAACUGGAGGACCGAACCGACUAAUGUUGAAAAAUUAGCGGAUGACUUGUGGCUGGGGGUGAAAGGCCAAUCAAACCGGGAGAUAGCUGGUUCUCCCCGAAAGCUAUUUAGGUAGCGCCUCGUGAAUUCAUCUCCGGGGGUAGAGCACUGUUUCGGCAAGGGGGUCAUCCCGACUUACCAACCCGAUGCAAACUACGAAUACCGGAGAAUGUUAUCACGGGAGACACACGGCGGGUGCUAACGUCCGUCGUGAAGAGGGAAACAACCCAGACCGCCAGCUAAGGUCCCAAAGUCAUGGUUAAGUGGGAAACGAUGUGGGAAGGCCCAGACAGCCAGGAUGUUGGCUUAGAAGCAGCCAUCAUUUAAAGAAAGCGUAAUAGCUCACUGGUCGAGUCGGCCUGCGCGGAAGAUGUAACGGGGCUAAACCAUGCACCGAAGCUGCGGCAGCGACGCUGAUGCGUUGUUGGGUAGGGGAGCGUUCUGUAAGCCUGCGAAGGUGUGCUGUGAGGCAUGCUGGAGGUAUCAGAAGUGCGAAUGCUGACAUAAGUAACGAUAAAGCGGGUGAAAAGCCCGCUCGCCGGAAGACCAAGGGUUCCUGUCCAACGUUAAUCGGGGCAGGGUGAGUCGACCCCUAAGGCGAGGCCGAAAGGCGUAGUCGAUGGGAAACAGGUUAAUAUUCCUGUACUUGGUGUUACUGCGAAGGGGGGACGGAGAAGGCUAUGUUGGCCGGGCGACGGUUGUCCCGGUUUAAGCGUGUAGGCUGGUUUUCCAGGCAAAUCCGGAAAAUCAAGGCUGAGGCGUGAUGACGAGGCACUACGGUGCUGAAGCAACAAAUGCCCUGCUUCCAGGAAAAGCCUCUAAGCAUCAGGUAACAUCAAAUCGUACCCCAAACCGACACAGGUGGUCAGGUAGAGAAUACCAAGGCGCUUGAGAGAACUCGGGUGAAGGAACUAGGCAAAAUGGUGCCGUAACUUCGGGAGAAGGCACGCUGAUAUGUAGGUGAAGUCCCUCGCGGAUGGAGCUGAAAUCAGUCGAAGAUACCAGCUGGCUGCAACUGUUUAUUAAAAACACAGCACUGUGCAAACACGAAAGUGGACGUAUACGGUGUGACGCCUGCCCGGUGCCGGAAGGUUAAUUGAUGGGGUUAGCGCAAGCGAAGCUCUUGAUCGAAGCCCCGGUAAACGGCGGCCGUAACUAUAACGGUCCUAAGGUAGCGAAAUUCCUUGUCGGGUAAGUUCCGACCUGCACGAAUGGCGUAAUGAUGGCCAGGCUGUCUCCACCCGAGACUCAGUGAAAUUGAACUCGCUGUGAAGAUGCAGUGUACCCGCGGCAAGACGGAAAGACCCCGUGAACCUUUACUAUAGCUUGACACUGAACAUUGAGCCUUGAUGUGUAGGAUAGGUGGGAGGCUUUGAAGUGUGGACGCCAGUCUGCAUGGAGCCGACCUUGAAAUACCACCCUUUAAUGUUUGAUGUUCUAACGUGGACCCGUAAUCCGGGUUGCGGACAGUGUCUGGUGGGUAGUUUGACUGGGGCGGUCUCCUCCUAAAGAGUAACGGAGGAGCACGAAGGUUGGCUAAUCCUGGUCGGACAUCAGGAGGUUAGUGCAAUGGCAUAAGCCAGCUUGACUGCGAGCGUGACGGCGCGAGCAGGUGCGAAAGCAGGUCAUAGUGAUCCGGUGGUUCUGAAUGGAAGGGCCAUCGCUCAACGGAUAAAAGGUACUCCGGGGAUAACAGGCUGAUACCGCCCAAGAGUUCAUAUCGACGGCGGUGUUUGGCACCUCGAUGUCGGCUCAUCACAUCCUGGGGCUGAAGUAGGUCCCAAGGGUAUGGCUGUUCGCCAUUUAAAGUGGUACGCGAGCUGGGUUUAGAACGUCGUGAGACAGUUCGGUCCCUAUCUGCCGUGGGCGCUGGAGAAUUGAGGGGGGCUGCUCCUAGUACGAGAGGACCGGAGUGGACGCAUCACUGGUGUUCGGGUUGUCAUGCCAAUGGCACUGCCCGGUAGCUAAAUGCGGAAGAGAUAAGUGCUGAAAGCAUCUAAGCACGAAACUUGCCCCGAGAUGAGUUCUCCCUGACUCCUUGA
rnacentral:rRNA from 2 species